GCUAUACAUGCAGUCGUACGCUUCUUUUUCCACCGGAGCUUGCUCCACCGGAAAAAGAGGAGUGGCGAACGGGUGAGUAACACGUGGGUAACCUGCCCAUCAGAAGGGGAUAACACUUGGAAACAGGUGCUAAUACCGUAUAACAAUCGAAACCGCAUGGUUUUGAUUUGAAAGGCGCUUUCGGGUGUCGCUGAUGGAUGGACCCGCGGUGCAUUAGCUAGUUGGUGAGGUAACGGCUCACCAAGGCCACGAUGCAUAGCCGACCUGAGAGGGUGAUCGGCCACAUUGGGACUGAGACACGGCCCAAACUCCUACGGGAGGCAGCAGUAGGGAAUCUUCGGCAAUGGACGAAAGUCUGACCGAGCAACGCCGCGUGAGUGAAGAAGGUUUUCGGAUCGUAAAACUCUGUUGUUAGAGAAGAACAAGGAUGAGAGUAACUGUUCAUCCCUUGACGGUAUCUAACCAGAAAGCCACGGCUAACUACGUGCCAGCAGCCGCGGUAAUACGUAGGUGGCAAGCGUUGUCCGGAUUUAUUGGGCGUAAAGCGAGCGCAGGCGGUUUCUUAAGUCUGAUGUGAAAGCCCCCGGCUCAACCGGGGAGGGUCAUUGGAAACUGGGAGACUUGAGUGCAGAAGAGGAGAGUGGAAUUCCAUGUGUAGCGGUGAAAUGCGUAGAUAUAUGGAGGAACACCAGUGGCGAAGGCGGCUCUCUGGUCUGUAACUGACGCUGAGGCUCGAAAGCGUGGGGAGC
rnacentral:rRNA from 1 species